GCCCUGGCAGUCAGAGGCGAUGAAGGGCGUGCUAAUCUGCGAUAAGCGCCGGUAAGGUGAUAUGAACCGUUAUAACCGGCGAUACCCGAAUGGGGAAACCCAGUGUGACUCGUCACACUAUCAUUAACUGAAUCCAUAGGUUAAUGAGGCGAACCGGGGGAACUGAAACAUCUAAGUACCCCGAGGAAAAGAAAUCAACCGAGAUUCCCCCAGUAGCGGCGAGCGAACGGGGAGGAGCCCAGAGCCUGAAUCAGCAUGUGUGUUAGUGGAAGCGUCUGGAAAGGCGCGCGAUACAGGGUGACAGCCCCGUACACAAAAGCGCAUGUGCUGUGAGCUCGAUGAGUAGGGCGGGACACGUGGUAUCCUGUCUGAAUAUGGGGGGACCAUCCUCCAAGGCUAAAUACUCCUGACUGACCGAUAGUGAACCAGUACCGUGAGGGAAAGGCGAAAAGAACCCCGGCGAGGGGAGUGAAAAAGAACCUGAAACCGUGU
rnacentral:rRNA from 1 species